UGGUGGAGCGAUUUGUCUGGUUAAUUCCGUUAACAAACGAGACCUCAGCCUGCUAACUAGCUAUGCGGAGGAAUCCCGUUUAGGCCACGGAAGUUUGAGGCAAUAACA
rnacentral:rRNA from 1 species